rnacentral:rRNA from 1 species
AACUUACGCUAAUACCGCAUACGACCUACGGGUGAAAGUGGGGGACCGCAAGGCCUCACGCGAUUAGAUGAGCCGAUGUCCGAUUAGCUAGUUGGCGGGGUAAUGGCCCACCAAGGCGACGAUCGGUAGCUGGUCUGAGAGGAUGAUCAGCCACACUGGAACUGAGACACGGUCCAGACUCCUACGGGAGGCAGCAGUGGGGAAUAUUGGACAAUGGGCGCAAGCCUGAUCCAGCCAUACCGCGUGGGUGAAGAAGGCCUUCGGGUUGUAAAGCCCUUUUGUUGGGAAAGAAAUCCUGUCGAUUAAUACUCGGUGGGGAUGACGGUACCCAAAGAAUAAGCACCGGCUAACUUCGUGCCAGCAGCCGCGGUAAUACGAAGGGUG